UCUUCGGAACGAUGGAAUAAAUAAUGGAGAGUUUGAUCCUGGCUCAGAACGAACGCUGGCGGCGCGUUUUAAGCAUGCAAGUCGAACGGGAUUCAAGUGCUUGCACUUGAUGAGAGUGGCGAACGGGUGAGUAACACGUAAGUGAUCUGCCCUGGGGAUGGGGAUAGCUCAUGGAAACAUGGGGUAAGACCGAAUACCGUAACACUAUUUGAAGGUUAUGUUACGAAAAGAGCUACGGCUCUGCCCUGGGAUGAGCUUGCGGCCCAUUAGCUAGUUGGUGAGGUAAAGGCCCACCAAGGCAACGAUGGGUAGCCGGCCUGAGAGGGUGAACGGCCACAUUGGGACUGAGACACGGCCCAGACUCCUACGGGAGGCAGCAGCUAAGAAUCUUCCGCAAUGGGCGAAAGCCUGACGGAGCGACGCCGCGUGAACGAAGAAGGCAGAGAUGUUGUAAAGUUCUUUUCCUGUUGAAGAAUAAGUGGAAGAGGGAAUGCUUCCAUGAUGACGUUAGACAGGGAAUAAGCCACGGCUAAUUACGUGCCAGCAGCCGCGGUAACACGUAAGUGGCGAGCGUUGUUCGGAUUCAUUGGGCGUAAAGGGCGUGUAGGCGGCGUAUCAAGCUUGGUGUGAAAUAUUUCGGCUUAACCGAAAAGACGCGCUGAGAACUGAUAUGCUAGAGUUCAAGAGGGGGAGUUAGAAUUCCAGGUGUAGGGGUGAAAUCUGUAGAUAUCUGGAAGAAUACCGGUGGCGAAGGCGAACUCCUGGCAAUGAACUGACGCUGAGGCGCGAAAGCGUGGGUAGCGAACAGGAUUAGAUACCCUGGUAGUCCACGCUGUAAACGAUGUGCACUAAGUGUUGGGGGGUUUACCUCCAGUGCUGAAGCGAACGUGAUAAGUGCACCGCCUGGGGAGUAUGCUCGCAAGGGUGAAACUCAAAGGAAUUGACGGGGGCCCGCACAAGCGGUGGAGCAUGUGGUUUAAUUCGAUGAUACGCGAGGAACCUUACCAGGGUUUGACAUAUAGAGGAAUACGUAAGAGAUUACGUAGCUGCUUGCAGUCUCUAAACAGGUGCUGCAUGGCUGUCGUCAGCUCGUGCUGUGAAGUGUUGGGUUAAGUCCCGCAACGAGCGCAACCCCUUUUGUCUGUUACCAUCAGGUAAUGCUGGGGACUCAGACGGAACUGCCGGUGACAAACCGGAGGAAGGUGGGGACGACGUCAAGUCAUCAUGGCCCUUAUAUCCUGGGCUACACACGUGCUACAAUGGCAGGUACAGAGUGAAGCGAAGCAGCGAUGCGGAGCAAAUCGCAGAAAACCUGUCUCAGUACAGAUUGGAGUCUGAAACUCGACUCCAUGAAGGUGGAAUCGCUAGUAAUCGCGCAUCAGCAUGGCGCGGUGAAUACGUUCCCGGGCCUUGUACACACCGCCCGUCACACCACCCGAGUUGGGGGUACCCGAAGUCGUUAGUCUAACCAGCAAUGGAGGACGAUGCCGAAGGUAUGCCUGGUGAGGGGGGUGAAGUCGUAACAAGGUAGCCGUACCGGAAGGUGCGGCUGGAUCACCUCCUUUCUA
rnacentral:rRNA from 1 species